rnacentral:rRNA from 1 species
UGAGGAAUAUUGGGCAAUGCCCGCAAGGGUGACCCAGCAACGCCGCGUGGAGGAUGAAUGUCGUAAGAUUGUAAGCUCCUGUUAGAGGGGAAGAAUAGUACCGGUUGGACCGGUAUAUGACUGUACCCUCAGAGAAAGCCCCGGCUAACUACGUGCCAGCAGCCGCGGUAAUACGUAGGGGGCAAGCGUUGUCCGGAAUUACUGGGCGUAAAGGGUGCGCAGGCGGUCUUGCAAGUCAGAUGUGAAAGCCCCGGGCUUAACCUGGGAAUUGCGUUGGAAACUACAAGACUAGAGUGCAGCAGAGGGGAGUGGAAUUCCAUGUGUAGCAGUGAAAUGCGUAGAGAUGUGGAAGAACACCGAUGGCGAAGGCAGCUCCCUGGGUUGACACUGACGCUCAUGCACGAAAGCGUGGGGAGCAAACA